CCUGGCGGCGAUAGCGCGGUGGUCCCACCUGACCCCAUGCCGAACUCAGAAGUGAAACGCCGUAGCGCCGAUGGUAGUGUGGGGUUUCCCAUGUGAGAGUAGGGAACUGCCAGGC
rnacentral:rRNA from 1 species